CCCCAGUACCCCACGAGAUCUGCUCCCAUCUCUUCUUCUCCCCCAUCGCACGAGGUUUGCGCCCCUCCCCGCUCGCCGUCGGCCUGUCUCAGCCCCUGACCCUCCACCGCCACCGACUCCCUCUCUUGCCACCGAGGGAAUUUGGAUCUAGGAGCCCAUGCCACUACAGCUCUCCCCCGCCCACGAUUAGCCCUCGGCUCGGGAGAUGCUGACGCCCAUCGCGACCACGAUUUGCUCCCUCGUGUCCUCGGCCUCUUCCUCCACUCUCAUCCUCCCUCCUCCCCCCGUCCUCGGUUAUUCUCGUCGCCUCCGCCGCGCGUUCCGCUCUCCCCACAGCCUUUGUCCGCCACAUCAUCCUCGGCUGUUGUCGGCGCCUCGCUCCACGCCCGCCCUCGCCCAACGACCCUCGCCGCACCCCUCCCUGUCCUCGACAACUUCCCCUCUGGCCCCGUCCUUGCCGGCAUCGGCGCCUGCUCUCUCCGUCAUGGGGGAGGGGAAAGUGAAGGAGGAAGAAGAGCCAAGCGGCUAAGCCAGCUCGGCCGGUCGCCUCCCACCAAAAUCCCCCGAGACAUCAUCGACGAGGAGAUGGAGAUGGAGUCUAGCCCCGCAGCUCCUCGGCAUCACAAUCGUUGCCUCCCGUGUUGUGCCCUUGGAUCCACUUCUCGUGCGACGCCCCUGAUCGACAAGCACGUCGUGCGUCCGCACCGCCUCCCUGACCGACAAGCAUGUCAUGGCUCCAGGCACUUGCAGCCUCCGCGCUUCUUCGGCCAGCAAGCACGCGACCACGCCUCCCACUAUUCAGUCGUGGUGGUUCCAGGUGCUUCUUGCCUCCGUGUCUCCCUGACUAGCGACUAUGUAAGGAGGGACCUCCCCUGCCCUGGCUCCAAACAGAAUCAGGGAAUACGGUCAGCCUCCCAUGGUUGCUGCCAUGUAGGCGAUCUGAUAGUCCACAAAAACCUAAGAUUCGACACCAAGUCACUAACCAAAGGAAGAUCGAGAUGAGGAAGGAUGUGAUUUGAUCUCAAAUAUCAACUACAUCUGUCUAGCGUCGAGACACAUGUGUGCUACGCCAGAAGCUGAUGGUUGUGGGUAAAACAUUUUUGUUGCUGUAAUCCCCAGCCUAGCAAGUUUCACUUAAACAAUGGUUCAGGCUUUCGUAGCUUGCAAGAGGAACAACAUGGAAUACACAAGGUGGACAAGGCUAGCACACCGAGGUCAAGUUUAUCCUCCAGGACCAACCAUGGAAGUGAAUCUUCUGAUGAUAUUUGCCUAUCAUUAAGAAUUAUAUAUUGACUCUUUUGAAAUAAUUUGUGCAAUAUUGAUAAUGUUUGUUCAACAUCAGUUCAAUCUAUUUGGGCCUACGUAUUUAUAGUUGUAUUACAUAUUUAUAUUAUCAACAUAAUGUUAGUGUUGCGGUGAUAUUUUGCAUCA